GAUCCUGGCUUAGGACGAACGCUGGCGGCGUGCCUAACACAUGCAAGUCGAGCGAGGAGAUCCUUCGGGAUGAUCCUAGCGGCGGACGGGUGAGUAACACGUGGGCAACCUGCCUCAUAGAGAGGAAUAGCCUUCCGAAAGGGAGAUUAAUACCUCAUAACAUUGCAGUUUCGCAUGGAACAGCAAUUAAAGGAGUAAUCCGCUAUGAGAUGGGCCCGCGGCGCAUUAGCUAGUUGGUGAGGUAACGGCUCACCAAGGCGACGAUGCGUAGCCGACCUGAGAGGGUGAUCGGCCACAUUGGGACUGAGACACGGCCCAGACUCCUACGGGAGGCAGCAGUGGGGAAUAUUGCACAAUGGGGGAAACCCUGAUGCCAGCAACGCCGCGUGAGUGAUGACGGCCUUCGGGUUGUAAAGCUCUGUCUUCAGGGACGAUAAUGACGGUACCUGAGGAGGAAGCCACGGCUAACUACGUGCCAGCCGCCGC
rnacentral:rRNA from 1 species